ACUAACUGGGUGCCUACAGAGGAGAUCUGCCUGCUGCAUCCAGAGGAGAGAAGGCUUGGAGCUUGGGUACGGCUUCUCUCUGACUCUGAUUUUCAUGGUCAGAAGCUUGGUGUUUCCAAGCUGUUCAGCUGAGGAGUAGGCCUUAGACCAGCUUUCACUGAAGAGACAUCAGGCAUCUAAGGAUUGCUUGACACAGUGGAAUAACAGGCACACAGGGGAAGCUUCUCCCAGUGGGUUACUAACAGAUGAAGAGCAGAAACAGGAAUGGAUCCUGCCACCUUAAUGCCACCUUAGAUUGGGGACCAAGCUUGCAGAACCUGAAGCUCGGGAAGUCAGAUCACGUUCCAAGAAUGGAGUUCUAUGAGGAGGAUUCUGAGUGUGUGUGUGAGAAAACCCCAAGAAACCAGGACAAGUGACUUGUGGUUUCAGUUUCUUCAAAGUCACAAAACUGUUCUUGGAUUAUGCUUUUGUGCCCCUCCCAGAUGUAGUGGUUUACCUCAGAUUAUUCAUUAUAACUGGCUAUUAUUUGUUUAUACACCUCUAUGGAAAAUCUAUGGCUUGGCCUGGUGACUGUAUACUUUACUCACGUGACUCUGAGUAACCCUCAACGUAUAAAUUGUCUGAUGCUC
rnacentral:lncRNA from 1 species